AGACAAACCGUAUUUGUACCUUAAGAGUUCAUUUGCUGUCCCUAAGUCUAAAUAAUGUGGUGUUUCAUCAUCUGCUAAGAUGGGGCUUUCAUUCUCCAGUUCAUAGGCCAGUGCAGGCCAGGGCUCUCUCUCCAGAACUGAAUGGUUUCUCAGGACAGAGCCCAGCUUAAGAGAAUCUUGGACAUCAUUUAGUUCAAGCUCCCGCUAACAUCAACCAUCUCUGAAGCUUCUUGAAUAGAGGAUCAGCCCCAGCUGAAAUCCACCUUCAGUCAUGGAGAACUGGAUACCUGGCCCACCCUCACCCAGGAGGUGAACUGGGAAUCAAGCCUUAAUUUGCACAUGCCAGGCAAGUGCUUGGCAGCUGAGCUACACCCCACAGACCUUGUUUUUCUGUUUUUGUUUUGUUUGUUUGUUUGUUUGUUGUUUGUUUGUUUUUGAGACAGGUUCUCACUGGUAGUCCAAGACUACCUUGAAUUUAAUAUGUGUCACUGACGGGCCUGGAGUUUGUGAUCAAAAGCCUCAGCCUCCUGAGUGCUAGAAUUACAGGUAUGUUCCUCCACUGCAAUAACUGAUUUUGACUCAGGGUUGCUUGUUUAUAUUCCACAUUUUCUAAGUGGACAUGCUGAAACCGAUGGUUCAAAAUGGCGAAUGUAGUGGACGUUUAUUGCAUUUUCUGUCUUACACGUCCCUGGGUAUCCUCACGCUACUCACACAGAC
rnacentral:lncRNA from 1 species